rnacentral:rRNA from 1 species
CCGGGUCCGAGGGGUCCACGUAACUAUGACGAUUCAAAGUAAGUUCGCACGAAUCGCGGGCCCCGAGCCCGCGAUGACUCGAACGAGUUUCUGCCCUAUCAACUUUCAACCGUAGUGUAGGGGACUACGGUGGUGAUAACGGGUACGGGGAAUUAGGGUUCGAUUCCGGAGAGGCGGCCCGAGAAACGGCCGCCACUUCCAAGGAAGGCAGCAGGCGCGUAAAUUAUCCAAUCCCGAUUCGGGGAGAUAGUGACGAGAAAUAUCGAUGUGGAGCCCGAUCGGGUUCCACGAUCGGAAUGAGGACAACGUAAACGCGUUAGCGAGGAACGAUUGGAGGGCAAGUCUGGUGCCAGCAGCCGCGGUAAUUCCAGCUCCAAUAGUGUAUAUUAAAGUUGUUGCGGUUAAAAAGCUCGUAGUUGGACCGUUGGGGGAGGCGUCGGCACUCGCUUCCGGCGGGGAUUUUGUCGGGCGCCUCUCCGUCGUCGUCCCCGUUCCCCUCUCGGGGGGCGGGGAGGAGGUUUCUCGAGAUCGGGGCCGUUCCCCUCCGGGGGUUCUGCCCGUUUCGUAGAAGGUUUACCUUGAAUAAAUUAGGGUGUUCAAAGCGGGCGUCUUCGCUCCGAAUACGUUAGCAUGGGAUAAUGAAAGAAGACCUCCGUCCGCACCUUCGGUUUGGUUCCUGGGACGGGGGUAAUGAUUGACAGGGGCGAUUGGGGUCGAUCGUACUCGGCGGUCAGAGGUGAAAUUCUAGGACCCGUCGAAGACGCACCAGUGCGAAGGCAUCCGACAAGGACGUUUUCGUUAAUCAAGAACGAAAGUAGUGGGAUCGAAGAUGAUCAGAUACCGUCGUAGUCGCUACCGUAAACGCUGUCGACUCGGGAUCCGCGGAAGUUACAUGGAUGACUCCGCGGGCACCGCGAGCGAAAGCAAAGUAUUCGGACUCCGGGGGGAGUAUGGUCGCAAGGCUGAAACUUAAAAGAAUUGACGGAAGGGCACCACCAGGAGUGGAACCUGCGGCUUAAUUUGACUCAACACGGGGAAACUCACCCGGUCCGGACGCGACGAGGAUUGACAGAUUGAUAGCUCUUUCUUAAUUUCGUGGAAGCCGGUGCAUGGCCGUUUUUAGUUGGUGGAGUGAUUUGUCUGGUUAAGUCCGAUAACGAACGAGACCUUUUUCUGCUUAAUAGCGCCGGGAACGGGGGGGUCGCCGUCCCUCGGCGGUCGCGCCUGGCGCGGCCCUCGGGGGUCGGGGCCUCCGCAAAGUCGUUUGCCGGGAGACGCUUCUUAGAGAGACACUCGGCGGUUCUUCAGCCGAUGGAAGUUAAAGGCAAAAACAGGUCUGUGAUGCCGCCAGAUGUCCGGGGCUGCACGCGCGUUACACUGCCGUGUUCAACGAGCGCAAAAAUUGACCGAGCUCGAAGGGGUGAGGCAAGCUCGCAACGCACGGCGUGAUGGGGAUCGUGCCUUGUAACUAUCGCACGCGAACGAGGAAUUCCUAGUAGUGGCGAGUCAUCAACUCGCCUCGAUUACGUCCCUGCCCUUUGUACACACCGCCCGUCGCUUCUACCGAUCGAACCGCUCGAUGAGGACUCGAGACGGCGGGGGCCUUCGAUCUCGCGGGGGGUUCCCCCCUCGCGCGCCGGGGGCCUUCGCCGGAACCUGUUCGAAUCUCGCCGUUUAGAGGAAGAAGAAGUCGUAACAAGGUUUUUGUAGGUGAACCUGCAAAAGGAUCA